GAUGAACGCUGGCGGCGUGCCUAAUACAUGCAAGUCGAGCGAACAGAUGAGGAGCUUGCUCCUCUGACGUUAGCGGCGGACGGGUGAGUAACACGUGGAUAACCUACCUAUAAGACUGGGAUAACUUCGGGAAACCGGAGCUAAUACCGGAUAAUAUAUUGAACCGCAUGGUUCAAUAGUGAAAGACGGUUUUGCUGUCACUUAUAGAUGGAUCCGCGCCGCAUUAGCUAGUUGGUAAGGUAACGGCUUACCAAGGCAACGAUGCGUAGCCGACCUGAGAGGGGAAUCGGCCACACGGGAACUGAGACACGGUCCAGACUCCUAGGGAGGCAGCAGUAGGGAAUCUUCCGCAAUGGGCGAAAGCCUGACGGAGCAACGCCGCGUGAGUGAUGAAGGUCUUCGGAUCGUAAAACUCUGUUAUUAGGGAAGAACAAAUGUGUAAGUAACUAUGCACGUCUUGACGGUACCUAAUCAGAAAGCCACGGCUAACUACGUG
rnacentral:rRNA from 1 species